AAUGAACGCUGGCGGCAUGCCUAACACAUGCAAGUCGAACGAGACCUUCGGGUCUAGUGGCGCACGGGUGCGUAACGCGUGGGAAUCUGCCCUUGGGUUCGGAAUAACAGUGAGAAAUUACUGCUAAUACCGAAUGAUGACGUAAGUCCAAAGAUUUAUCGCCCAGGGAUGAGCCCGCGUAGGAUUAGCUAGUUGGUGAGGUAAAGCUCACCAAGGCGACGAUCCUUAGCUGGUCUGAGAGGAUGAUCAGCCACACUGGGAC
rnacentral:rRNA from 1 species